rnacentral:rRNA from 1 species
ACGGGAGGCAGCAGUUAGGAAUAUUGGGCAAUGGAGGAAACUCUGACCCAGCAACGCCGCGUGAAGGAAGAAGGUUUUCGGACUGUAAACUUCUGAUCUAAGGGAAAAAGAAAGUGAUGGUACCUUAGGAGAAAGCCACGGCUAACUACGUGCCAGCAGCCGCGGUAAUACGUAGGUGGCGAGCGUCGUCCGGAAUGACUGGGCGUAAAGGGAGCGUAGGUUGCGAUUUAAGUUAGGUGUGAAAGCCCGUAGCUCAACUACGGAACUGCAUUUAAAACUGGAUUGCUAGAGUACAGGAGGGGUGAGCGGAAUUCCUAGUGUAGCGGUGGAAUGCGUAGAUAUUAGGAGGGACACCAGUUGCGAAGGCGGCUCUCUGGACUGUAACUGACACUGAGGCACGAAAGCGUGGGGAGCAAACAGGAUUAGAUACCCUGGUA